UGAACUGUUUCCAUUUGAGCCAGCUGC
rnacentral:piRNA from 1 species